rnacentral:rRNA from 1 species
AACGAACGCUGGCGGCAUGCCUAACACAUGCAAGUCGAACGAGACCUUCGGGUCUAUGUGCGCACGGGUGCGUAACGCGUGGGAACCUGCCCUUAGGUUCGGAAUAACUCCCCGAAAGGGGUGCUAAUACCGGAUAAGGUCUUCGGACCAAAGAUUUAUCGCCUUUGGAUGGGCCCGUGUUGGAUUAGCUGGUUGGUAGUGUAAAAGCCUACCAAGGCGACGAUGCAUAGCUGGUCGGAGAGGAUGACCAGCCACACUGGGACUGAGACACGGCCCAGACUCCUAGGGGAGGCAGCAGUGGGGAAUAUUGUACAAGGGGCGAAAGCCUGAUCAAGCAAUGCGGCGUGAGUGAUGAAGGCCUUAGGGUUGUAAAGCUCUUUUACCCGGGAUGAUAAUGACAGUACCGGGAGAAUAAGCUCCGGCUAACUACGUG